rnacentral:rRNA from 1 species
UUUAUAAAUUAGUAUAUAAUAAAUAGUUAGAUUAAUUAAUAUUAAAAUAAAUAAAAUUAUAAUAAAUAAUAAAGUUUAGCAUUUUAAUGGAUUAAAUUUGUUUAUUUAAAAUAGUAAUGUAAAUGAAAAUAAAAAAGAAUAAAAAAGAAUAUUUAAAUUAUAGUACCUUUUGUAUCAGGGUUAAUUAAAUUUAUAGUUAAAAUUUUAAUAAUUUCGAUUUUUAAAGAGCUUAUAAAAUUAAUAAAGUUAAAAUGUAAAAUUUAUUUUAAAUAAAUUAUAAGAAGAGAAAAUUAAAUUAAGUUUAAAAUAUAUCUAAUUUAUUUUUAGAUAAAUUGAAUUUAAUUUUAAUAAAAUUUUGUUAGUAAAAUUAAUUAUUGAUAAAAAUAUUAAAUUAAUAAAUUAUGGGUUAAUCUAUAAUUUAAAUUAAAAAUUAGGUAAAUUUUAAUUUUGUAUUUUUAAUAAUAAUUAUAUAAUUUAAUUAAUUAGAAAAAAAAUUUUAUAAUUUAUAAAAAAUAAUUCAUUAAAUUUUAAUAACCAAAUUUUAAAUAAGAAAAAAUAAAUUUAUAAAAAUUAUAAUAAAAAAAUUAUAAUGAUUAAAUUAGUAAUUAAGUUUAUAUAAAAUGAAUAAAAAAUAAAUAUAAAUUUUAAGAAUUAGGCAAAAUAAUUAGUUCACCUGUUUAACAAAAACAUGUUUUUUUGAAAAAUUAUGAUUUAAGAUUAUUUCUGCUCAAUGAAUAAUUAAAUAGCCGCAGUAAAUUGACUGUGCUAAGGUAGCAUAAUCAAUUGUUUUUUAAUUAAGGACUGGAAUGAAUGAAUUAAUGAAAUUAAGACUUUUUUAAAUUUAAAUAAUGAAUUUUUUUAUUAAAUAAAAAUAUUUGAAUGAAUUUAUGGGACGAGAAGACCCUAUAGAAUUUUAUAUUAAUUUUUAUAAAUAAUUUAUAAAAAUUAAUAUUUUAUUGGGAGGAUAAAUAAAUUUAAUAAACUUUAAUUAAAAAUAAACAUAAAUUAAUGAAAUAAAAUAAUAAAUGAUUUUAAUAAAAAAUUAAUUACCUUAGGGAUAACAGCAUAAUAUUAUUUUGUAGAUCAUAUAUAAAAUUAAUGAUUAUGACCUCGAUGUUGAAUUAAGAUAAAUUUUUUAAGGAGAAUUAAAAAUUUUAAGUCUGUUCGACUUUUAAAAUCUUACAUGAUUUGAGUUCAGAUCGGUGUGAGCCAGAUCGGUUUCUAUCUAUAAAAAUAAGAAUAUAUAAUUGUACGAAAGGACUUUAUAUAUGUUAAAAUUAAAUUAUUUAAUGAAUAAAAUUAAUUAU